AUUGAACGCUGGCGGCAGGCCUAACACAUGCAAGUCGAACGGUAACAGAGUAAAACUUUCCUCUUAGCUGAGGCGUGGCGCAGGCGUGUGUGAUGUCCAUGGAAAUCUACUAUGGCGGGGGGUAACUCGUGGGAACGGUUACUCUAAUACCGUAUACUCCCUACGGCAGAGAGCAGGGCCUUUGCGGCCCUUGCGCUCUUGUAUGCGCAGAUGUGGGAUUAGCUAGUUGGGGGGGUAAGGGCCCACCAAGGCGACGAUCCGUAGCUGGUCUGAGAGGAUGAUCAGCCACACUGGAACUGAGACACGGUCCAGACUCCUACGGGAGGCAGCAGUGGGGAAUAUUGGACAAUGGGCGCAAGCCUGAUGCAGCCAUGCCGCGUGUAUGAAGAAGGCCUUCGGGUUGUAAAGCACUUUUGUUGGGGAAGAAAAGAGGAAGGUUAAUACCUUGGCUUAUUGACGGUACCCGCAGAAGAAGCACCGGCUAACUUCGUG
rnacentral:rRNA from 1 species